GGACGAGGCAUGGGUCUCGGUUGGACUGGCGGACAACACAGUAGCCUCUCCCUCUCAUGAGAUUCCGCGUCUACACAUAAACCAGAACAGAAGAGAAAGAUGGCGACCGCAGAAAACAAUGAGAGAGAAGAGGGAAGACGAGCCGAGCAUUCUCCAGGACCUGCACGAGUCCUUCAAUCCUCUCGCUUAACAUCACUCAGGGGACGCAAAAAAAAAACAAAACCGAUCAAAGUUAAUUUGAGUGUGAAGUAUUUAACUAUCAUCCCUGAUUAAAGCAACUGUUUAGUCAGUUUACAACAUUCACAAACCCCAGGACUGGGUUUAGAUAGAAGGUCCAGAUUUGAAUACCACUGCUGUAGAAUAUGAGGUUUACUAGCAGAAUUUUGGCUACUGCUUAGAGUUGAACUGAAAAAUUGAAAUGUCAGUGUUCUCGUGUAAAUUGAAGUGAUACCAUACAUUUAAACUUGCUGGUCAUUUAAGAUGAUGUUUCUUUUUCAGUAUUCAUGCGCUGUGAUUUUUUUAGACCAGGAUAUUUCUGAUAGUCCUCAUUCCCAGACAGAUCAUAUUUUUGAUGCGUUCCCAUUUCCUACCUUACCUGAACAAGAUAACCAGCACUCUUCAAUCUCCUGACUGUGGUGUGUUUGGAGCUGGAACGUAAUAAAAAAUGUGAAUAGGCUGAGGGGCAAUGGUGACAAGAUUUAAAAUCCCUAUAUUGAACCUUUAUCUUUGAGGUCUACCUUUAUACAAACUCGAACUCUCCAUUUGGCCACUAGAAGGCACAAAACUGCUGAAAAUGCAGUUCUAGUACUUAGCGGAGAAGCAAUUUUACGGUACAACUGAGGCCCAACCGUGAGGUACAACCGUGACAUUAGCCCAGUAUGACAAAACUUGAGGGUUUGCAGGAGGGAUGUCUAAAAAG